UACGUAGGGUGCAAGCGUUGUCCGGAAUUAUUGGGCGUAAAGAGCUCGUAGGCGGUUUGUCGCGUCUGCUGUGAAAACCCGAGGCUCAACCUCGGGCCUGCAGUGGGCACGGGCAGACUAGAGUGCGGUAGGGGAGAUUGGAAUUCCUGGUGUAGCGGUGGAAUGCGCAGAUAUCAGGAGGAACACCAAUGGCGAAGGCAGAUCUCUGGGCCGUAACUGACGCUGAGGAGCGAAAGCAUGGGGAGCGAACAGG
rnacentral:rRNA from 1 species